AAUGCCUCAAGGUCACCUCUUUCUUACCCUUCAGGCUUCAGUUCAAAUGUCCUUUCUUCAGGUGCUCAAUUUGAGGAUUUCCAACAACCACUAGGCUGGAGUCUGAGAAGCUGCCCUACAAAGAACGAUCUCUCAGCUGGGAUAAGAAGAAUGACAGACUGAGCCAGAUGACUUCGGACAGGAGAAGAAGGGGACAGUUGGAGUGCUCCCUGUAACAGAACGGCACAUUCCGGGACCUGGAGGCAGAAAAGAACGUUGUGAUUGGAGGACACGAAGGACUCAGUGUGGCUACCAGGCAGACUGCAAAGUAGGAACUGAGAAAAAUGAGACUGGAGAGCUUCCAGCCCACAACUCUGACAAGACCACUAAUAAGAUGUUUCCUGUUGGGAGUGUCAUCGUACUGGAGUCAGGUUCAUCUGGCACUGGUCGAGGAUGGACACAUCAGGGGCAGGAGUGAGCCCCCACCAUGUUUACUCAGCCUUCCCCAAGUCCUUCCUGCUGGGUUCACCAAGGCGCCCACACUCAGGCUUGGCCCUGCUCCUGCUCCUGCUCCUGAGUAUGUGAAAACC
rnacentral:lncRNA from 1 species